CCUGUGUUCCCAUCUUCUCGCGUGUAGAAUCCUACAUACGUGGAUUUUUUGUUGAGCGACGUUCCAGCUCGUACUGCGCUGAUGGAGUUAUCGGGGAUCUGAUUGAGUAGGACCGCGAAUGAGUUGGCGCGCAAGGACAGAUGGUGAAAACGUCGACUGCUCUCCCCACUCCAAAAUACUUUGCUCGUUCGCAGGCUUUGCGUAACUCGCAACGAUCUUAAUGUUUUUUAUACCGAACGUACACUUUGAUCCCCAUUCGUUUUAAUUUCCAUUGGACCGAGCUGUACCGUUGUGUAAUAUUCCCCUGACAAACCAACAAAUUAAAAGUAGAAGAAACAUC